GGGUUAUGGUUCAGCGGUAGAGCAUGUGCCUUGCACAUGCAAGGCUCUGGGUUCGAUCCUCAGCACCCA
rnacentral:tRNA from 1 species